ACCAUUACAGAUACCCUAUUGUUCACAAGUACAGGCUGAGAAAGAAUCCCACAAAGGCAAGGAAAAGGAGUUCCUUCUUGUACGGUGAUGCUAAAGGAAGGUAUGUCACUGCAGACAGAAACUGUCAAGAAGUGGAUGAGAAGGUUACCUGUGAUGAGAAGGAAGAAUUGAGUGGUGAAGUAGUAAUG